AAGAGUUGCAAAACUCCCACAAACCAUCGCGAACGUUACCACACAUAAGUUGCUUCGGCGCGCCGCUCCCGGGUCACACCGGGGCGCCGCCGGAGUGGCCGUAUACAAACUCUUAUUAUAAACCAGUUACAUCUGAGUACUAUACUUAAUAAGUAAAAACUUUCAACAACGGAUCUCUUGGUUCUGGCAUCGAUGAAGAACGCAGCGAAAUGCGAUAAGUAAUGUGAAUUGCAGAAUUCAGUGAAUCAUCGAAUCUUUGAACGCACAUUGCGCCCGCCAGUAUUCUGGCGGGCAUGCCUGUUCGAGCGUCAUUUCAACCAUCAAGCUCUGCUUGUGUUGGGGUCCCUGCGGCUGUCCGCAGGCCCUUAAAACCAGUGGCGGGCUCGCCUACACUCCGAGCGCAGUAGCACAUCUCGCUCAGGUCGUGUGGUGGGUUUCCGGCCGUAAAACACCCCCCUUCUGAAAGGUUGACCUCGGAUCAGGUAGGAAUACCCGCUGAACUUAAGCAUAUCAAUAAGCGAUCGUAGCCUUGGUCAUUUAGAGGAAGUAAAAGUCGUAACAAGGUUUCCGUAGGUGAACCUGCGGAAGGAUCACUAGUGAUUAAAUCGAGCGUGUCUUCAUUGACCGCUCACCCUUCUCACCAUCCACAUACACCUGUGCACUGUUUAGGCCUGAGCCGGUUUUCCGGUCCAGGUUAUCAUUUCAUACAAACUCUAGUCUUAUGAAUGUAAACGUUUUAAUAACAUAAUA
rnacentral:misc_RNA from 1 species